GAUGAACGCUGGCGGCGUGCCUAAUACAUGCAAGUCGAGCGAACAGACGAUGAGCUUGCUCCUCUGACGUUAGCGGCGGACGUGUGAGUAACACGUGGAUAACCUACCUAUAAGACUGGGAUAACUUCGGGAAACCGGAGCUAAUACCGGAUAAUAUAUUGAACCGCAUGGUUCAAUAGUGAAAGACGGUUUUGCUGUCUCUUAUAGAUGGAUCCGCGCCGCAUUAGCUAGUUGUUAAGGUAACGGCUUACCAAGGCAACGAUGCGUAGCCGACGUGAGAGGGUGAUCGGCCACACGGGAACUGAGACACGGACCAGACUCCUACGGGAGGCAGCAGUAGGGAAUAUUCCGCAAUGGGCGAAAGCAUGACGGAGCAACGCCGCGUGAGUGAUGAAGGUCUUCGGAUCGUAAAACUCUGUUAUUAGGGAAGAACAAAUGUGUAAGUAACUAUGCACGUCUUGACGGUAACUAAUCAGAAAGCCACGGCUAACUACGUG
rnacentral:rRNA from 1 species